rnacentral:rRNA from 1 species
GCGCCUUGCCAGCCCGCUCAGUCAGAGUUUGAUCCUGGCUCAGGAUGAACGCUGGCGGCGUGCCUAAUACAUGCAAGUCGAGCGAACGGAUAAGGAGCUUGCUCCUUUGAAGUUAGCGGCGGACGGGUGAGUAACACGUGGGUAACCUACCUAUAAGACUGGAAUAACUUCGGGAAACCGGAGCUAAUGCCGGAUAACAUAUAGAACCGCAUGGUUCUAUAGUGAAAGAUGGUUUUGCUAUCACUUAUAGAUGGACCCGCGCCGUAUUAGCUAGUUGGUAAGGUAAUGCUUACCAAGGCGACGAUACGUAGCCGACCUGAGAGGGUGAUCGGCCACACUGGAACUGAGACACGGUCCAG